GGUAGUUGAAAUGGCUUUCCCUCCAGAGUGGAUCCUGAGUACGGCGGAACACGUGAAAUUCCGUCGGAAUCCGGGAGGACCAUCUCCCAAGGCUAAAUACUCCCUAGUGACCGAUAGUGAACCAGUACCGUGAGGGAAAGGUGAAAAGCACCCCGGAAGGGGAGUGAAACAGUUCCUGAAACCGUGUGCCUACAAGUAGUUAGAGCCCGUUAAUGGGUGAUAGCGUGCCUUUUGUAGAAUGAACCGGCGAGUUACGAUUUGUUGCAAGGUUAAGCGGAAAAAGCGGAGCCGUAGCGAAAGCGAGUCUGAAUAGGGCGCAUAAGUAACAGGUCGUAGACCCGAAACCAGGUGAUCUACCCAUGUCCAGGAUGAAGGUAAGGUAAUACUUACUGGAGGUCCGAACCCACGCACGUUGAAAAGUGCGGGGAUGAGGUGUGGGUAGCGGAGAAAUUCCAAUCGAACUUGGAGAUAGCUGGUUCUCUCCGAAAUAGCUUUAGGGCUAGCCUCGAGGUAAAGAGUCAUGGAGGUAGAGCACUGUUUGGACUAGGGGCCCUUCUCGGGUUACCGAAUUCAGAUAAACUCCGAAUGCCAUGUACUUAUACUCGGGAGUCAGACUGCGAGUGAUAAGAUCCGUAGUCGAAAGGGAAACAGCCCAGACCACCAGUUAAGGUCCCCAAAUAUAUGUUAAGUGGAAAAGGAUGUGGGGUUGCUUAGACAACCAGGAUGUUGGCUUAGAAGCAGCCACCAUUGAAAGAGUGCGUAAUAGCUCACUGGUCGAGUGACCCCGCGCCGAAAAUGUACCGGGGCUAAACAUAUUACCGAAACUGUGGAUGAACCUCUUUAGAGGUUCGUGGUAGGAGAGCGUUCUAAGGGCGGUGAAGUCAGACCGGAAGGACUGGUGGAGCGCUUAGAAGUGAGAAUGCCGGUAUGAGUAGCGAAAGAAGGGUGAGAAUCCCUUCCACCGAAUAUCUAAGGUUUCCUGAGGAAGGCUCGUCCGCUCAGGGUUAGUCGGGACCUAAGCCGAGGCCGAUAGGCGUAGGCGAUGGACAACAGGUAGAGAUUCCUGUACCAGUGCUAAUUGUUUAACCGAUGGGGUGACACAGAAGGAUAGGGAAUCGCACGAAUGGAAAUGUGCGUCCAAGCAGUGAGUGUGAGAAGUAGGCAAAUCCGCUUCUCGCGAAGCAUGAGCUGUGAUGGGGAAGGAAAUUAAGUACGGAAGUUCCUGAUUUCACGCUGUCAAGAAAAGCCUCUAGGAAGAGUAGUACUGCCCGUACCGCAAACCGACACAGGUAGAUGAGGAGAGAAUCCUAAGGUGAGCGAGAGAACUCUCGUUAAGGAACUCGGCAAAAUGACCCCGUAACUUCGGGAGAAGGGGUGCUCUAUUAGGGUGCAAGCCCGAGAGAGCCGCAGUGAAUAGGCCCAGGCGACUGUUUAGCAAAAACACAGGUCUCUGCAAAACCGUAAGGUGACGUAUAGGGGCUGACGCCUGCCCGGUGCUGGAAGGUUAAGAGGAGUGCUUAGCUUCGGCGAAGGUACGAAUUGAAGCCCCAGUAAACGGCGGCCGUAACUAUAACGGUCCUAAGGUAGCGAAAUUCCUUGUCGGGUAAGUUCCGACCCGCACGAAAGGCGCAACGAUCUGGGCACUGUCUCAACGAGAGACUCGGUGAAAUUAUAGUACCUGUGAAGAUGCAGGUUACCCGCGACAGGACGGAAAGACCCCGUGGAGCUUUACUGCAACCUGAUAUGGAAUGUUUGUACCGCUUGUACAGGAUAGGUAGGAGCCGAAGAGACGUGUGCGCUAGCAUACGAGGAGGCAAUGGUGGGAUACUACCCUGGCUGUAUGACCAUUCUAACCCGCCACGCUUAGCGCGUGGGGAGACAGUGUCAGGUGGGCAGUUUGACUGGGGCGGUCGCCUCCUAAAGAGUAACGGAGGCGCCCAAAGGUUCCCUCAGAAUGGAUGGAAAUCAUUCGCAGAGUGUAAAGGCACAAGGGAGCUUGACUGCGAGACUGACAAGUCGAGCAGGGACGAAAGUCGGGCUUAGUGAUCCGGUGGUUCCGCAUGGAAGGGCCAUCGCUCAACGGAUAAAAGCUACCCCGGGGAUAACAGGCUUAUCUCCCCCAAGAGUCCACAUCGACGGGGAGGUUUGGCACCUCGAUGUCGGCUCGUCGCAUCCUGGGGCUGUAGUCGGUCCCAAGGGUUGGGCUGUUCGCCCAUUAAAGCGGCACGCGAGCUGGGUUCAGAACGUCGUGAGACAGUUCGGUCCCUAUCCGUCGCGGGCGCAGGAAAUUUGAGAGGAGCUGUCCUUAGUACGAGAGGACCGGGAUGGACACACCGCUGGUGUACCAGUUGUUCCGCCAGGAGCAUCGCUGGGUAGCUAUGUGUGGCAGGGAUAAACGCUGAAAGCAUCUAAGCGUGAAGCCCCCCUCAAGAUGAGAUUUCCCAUUUCUUCGGAAAGUAAGAUCCCUGAAAGAUGAUCAGGUAGAUAGGUUUGGAGUGGAAGUGUAGCGAUACAUGGAGCGGACAAAUACUAAUCGAUCGAGGACUUAACCAAAA
rnacentral:rRNA from 1 species